AUUCUCGGCACGGUGUUUUGAGUGUUGGGUUUUCGGGUUUGUUUGUGUUGACACGAGGCACUCUCGGUUGGCUGAGUGUUUGUCAAUUAUUUGAUGUCUGUUUGCGCGUGUUUACGUAAAUGUUUAACGAGGUUCAUUUUUUUGUUUUGGACUUUUUUCAUCGCUCCCGUUGCAGCCUAUUGUAAGGAAGGCGUUGUUGUUGCAUCAGUUCCCGUUUUUCUCUCAUUACCCACUGGCAUCCCAUUAAAAUAUCUCAACGAGAACGCAACGGGUCACGAGGGUGCUUAUCGUGGCGUCGUCGCCUUACUUCGCUUCAAUUGAAUUUCUAUCGCGUAAUCGAUAGAUAAUUGGUAAUCGUAAUUUUCAUAAUUUUUGGCUUUUCUUUUCACUUGGUUUUCCCCCCGGACUCGGGGGCCUUCUUCAUAGCUCAGCUCUGUGGAAAGCUCCGUCAUGGCGAGACACUUACGACUCUUUGUAGCAGGUCUUAGGCUGCUGAUCGACUGUAUGUUGGGGCAAGAGACUGCGGUAGGAGGGGCAGUCGGUCAGGCAAUUUGAUGGACGAUUUACACAGGCAGAAUGGAGUGUGACGGAGAGAUUUGCAUAUUAUGAUAAUAAACUAGGCGAAUUAGAACGAUAACAGACAGUUAAUUGAUGUUGUGUGUGCACUUGAGGUUGCGUAUUUUUACUGUUUAACCGUUAAAUAUUUUGGUUUAGCAGGCAUUGUUUUUUUUAUUGGAUUUCAUAGAAGGCCAACGGUAUUAUGAGAAAAUGUUUUUCCCGAAUUUCUGGAAAAUAAAUUUCUGAUU
rnacentral:lncRNA from 1 species